GAUGAACGCUAGCGGCAGGCUUAAUACAUGCAAGUCAAGGGGCCAGCAAUGGCACCGGCGGACAGGUGAGUAACGCGUACACAACGUACCUUUAACUGGGGGAUAGCAUCUGGAAACGGGUGGUAAUACCGCAUGUGGUUGCGGGGAGGCAUCUCCUUGUAACUAAACUUUGGUGGUUAGAGAUCGGUGUGCGUCUGAUUAGCUAGUUGGUAGGGUAGAGGCCUACCAAGGCGACGAUCAGUAGGGGGCGUGAGAGCGUGAACCCCCACACGGGUACUGAGACACGGACCCGACUCCUACGGGAGGCAGCAGUAAGGAAUAUUGGUCAAUGGAGGGAACUCUGAACCAGCCAUGCCGCGUGAAGGAAGAAGGCGCUACGCGUUGUAAACUUCUUUUGGGUGGGACGAAAUAAUCCAUUUAUGGAUAGCUGACGGUACCAUCAGAAUAAGCACCGGCUAACUCCGUGCCAGCAGCCGCGGUAAGAGUAGUACA
rnacentral:rRNA from 1 species